CAAGCCGCGGGAAUACGAAGGGGGCUAGCGUUGUUCGGAAUUACUGGGCGUAAAGCGCACGUAGGCGGAUUUUUAAGUCAGGGGUGAAAUCCCGAGGCUCAACCUCGGAACUGCCUUUGAUACUGGAGAUCUUGAGUUCGGAAGAGGUUGGUGGAACAGCUAGUGUAGAGGUGAAAUUCGUAGAUAUUAGCUAGAACACCAGUGGCGAAGGCGGCCAACUGGUCCGAUACUGACGCUGAGGUGCGAAAGCGUGGGGAGCAAACAGGAUUAGAUACCCCUGUAGUCCCUGUCUCUUAUACAC
rnacentral:rRNA from 1 species